rnacentral:lncRNA from 1 species
UAGGAUCUGGCGAUCCUUUGUUGAUAUAACUGACCAUGGAAGAUAGCCGCGGUUCGCCUUUCGCCUAUUAGAGACAAUUGGUGAUACAUGUCUUGUACCCAUUGAUCUUCAUCCAGCUGAGCGUCUAUCAACACUCUGAGGGAUUCCAUUUCCACUUCUAUAGGGAGCACUUCUUCCAUCCCAUAGGUUAAUGCUUAGGGGGUUGCCCCAGUGGAAG